rnacentral:rRNA from 1 species
UACGGGGGGGGCAAGCGUUGUUCGGAAUUACUGGGCGUAAAGGGCUCGUAGGCGGCCAACUAAGUCAGACGUGAAAUCCCUCGGCUUAACCGGGGAACUGCGUCUGAUACUGGAUGGCUUGAGGUUGGGAGAGGGAUGCGGAAUUCCAGGUGUAGCGGUGAAAUGCGUAGAUAUCUGGAGGAACACCGGUGGCGAAGGCGGUUCUCUGGGCAUUACCUGACGCUGAGGAGCGAAAGUGUGGGGAGCGAACAGG